rnacentral:tRNA from 1 species
GCUCCAGUAGCUCAGUGGCAGAGCACACCCUUGGUAAGGGUGAGGCCGUGGGUCCGAUUCCCACCUGGAGCU